CCUACGGGUGGCAGCAGUGGGGAAUAUUGGGCAAUGGGCGCAAGCCUGACCCAGCAACGCCGCGUGAAGGAAGAAGGCUUUCGGGUUGGAAACUUCUUUUCGCAGGGACGAAGCAAGCGACGGUACCUGAGGAAUAAGCCACGGCUAACUACGUGCCAGCAGCCGCGGUAAUACGUAGGUGGCAAGCGUUAGCCGGAUUGACGGGGUGUAAAGGGCGUGUAGGCGGGGACGCAAGUCAGAUGUGAAAACCACGGGCUCAACCUGUGGCCUGCAUUUGAAACUGUGUUUCUGGAGUACUGGAGAGGCAGGCGGAAUUCCUGGUGUAGCGGUGAAAUGCGUAGAUAUUAGGAGGAACACCAGUGGCGAAGGCGGUCUGCUGGACAGCAACUGACGCUGAGGCGCGAAAGCGUGGGGAGCAAACAGGAUUAGAUACCCCAGUAGUC
rnacentral:rRNA from 1 species